CUACGGGGGGCACCAGUUAAGAAUCUUCCGCAAUGGACGAAAGUCUGACGGAGCGACGCCGCGUGGGUGAAGAAGGCCGAGAGGUUGUAAAGCCCUUUCUGCUUGAGGAAUAAGCCUGGUAGGGAAUGACCGGGUGAUGACGGUAGGGCAGGAAUAAGCCCCGGCUAAUUACGUGCCAGCAGCCGCGGUAACACGGUAUGGGGCGAGCGUUGUUCGGAAUCAUUGGGCGUAAAGGGCGUGUAGGCGGAAAUGCAAGUCUGGUGGGAAAGACCGCAGCUCAACUGCGGGGACGCGCUGGAAACUGCAUAUCUUGAGUUCCGGAGGGGGAGUUGGAAUUCCUGGUGUAGGGGUGAAAUCUGUUGAUAUCAGGAAGAACAUCGGUGGCGAAGGCGAACUCCUGGACGAGAACUGACGCUGAGGCGCGAAAGCGUGGGGAGCGAACAGGAUUAGAUACCCCAGUAGUC
rnacentral:rRNA from 1 species